AUGCACUUCAAUUUUGCACUUAACUUAAGAAAAGAAGAUGGGGUAUGAUUGCCAAUGAGACAACUCUCUUCAAUUUCUUAAAGAGACAAAAUGACACAGAAAUUAACAACUAUAGGUCACCGUACGGCUUUCGACAAUGAGCAAAUCCCAAAUCGCAUAGUCAGCUAUAAAAGGCCCCAAAGUGACAAUGUAAAACAAUUCAAAUAAGAAAACUAACGGCUUCAUUUAUGUACACAAAAUUAACAAAACACAAAUAUGUAACACAUAAACAAACGGCAACCACUUAAUUACAGACUCCUACAUAGAGAAUGUGGUGGAGUCAAACAUGCUAGCGGGAUUCCAACCCAUAACUUGCCCUCUUUUAAUUGUUUUAUUCGAGCCUGACUGAUGAGUCUUUUGUAUAGGAAACACACGUCCAUUUAAUACGUUAUGCUUAUGUAUUUUAACACUAUUUUGACGUCAUUCUCAGAGAUGUGCUCCUGAUACAUUCAAAAAAUGUUAACGGUAAACAUCACGGAUAGGCAUGAUAGGUGGACCGAUGCUAUGUGUCGGUGUCUCAACAUGUUUUCGCGGUCUUAAAUCUUUUUGUUUUACUUUAUACGGAUUGUUUCGCUUUUCCUAUUCCGCAUUAUGUCCGAG
rnacentral:lncRNA from 1 species